AGCAAAGCAGACAGCCCGAUGCAGGGCUCGAACUCAUGAGCCCUGAGAUCAGGACCUGAGCCAAAGUCAGCCGCUCACCCACUGAGCCGCCCAGGUGUCCCCGGAAAGGCUCGUUUUUUACAUCAGAAUGGAGGUUCAGGGAGGCAGAGCCAGACUUGUUCCGAGUCCCAGAGCUCUAGGGUGAGGCCAGGAUUUGAACGUGACUUUGCCAGGCUGAUGCCCGUCUCGCCUCCCCCCAGCACGCCCGGGCUGCCUGCGAAGGCGAGGGAAGCGGACACCCGCCAUCAGAGAGGAUGCUUCUCCAACGGUGGCGUCUGGGCCAGUGGCGGCCAGCUCGCCGGGCUGUUUGCCAGGAAUGCAGAAUCUCAGGCCCCACCAGAGACCAGCUGAAUCUUGUCUUUCAACAGUCUCCCCAGGAUGACUGGUGUGCACGAUUUAGCCACACAGCCAUAUUUUUAACCACCGGGAAAGGUCACCCAGCUCAAAAUCAAGAUGUCGUGGCUCAAGACCGUGGGCAGGUGGAUAUCUAAAAGGUUUUUCUGCUCAGAGAAGCCUGAGAAAUGUUGGGAAACACAACGAGAAGCAGGCUUCCUUACUCCAGCACUCGUCCAAGUGAAUCAAGGAGCCACUGACAACAGAAAUGGCUUCCUCAGGGAAAGUUUUAUUAUCUCGCUGCAGAGAGAGAGAGAGAGAGAGAGAGAGAGAGUCGGGACUGGUUGAUUCAGCAACUAACCAUUGUCACUGAGGACUUGGUUCUGCUUCUGUUUCUCCAUCUUCAGGCUAGCCUCCUCAUGGUGCACUAUGGCUGCUGUUGAGCCAGGCAUCAAGUCCCAAAGCCCAGGGGGCAGCAGAGAGAAUACCCUUUCCUCACCGCUAUGUGUAAAGACAAGGCAAGCUUCCCACAGCC